GAUUAACGCUGGCGGCGCGCCUAACACAUGCAAGUCGAACGAGGUAGCAAUACCUAGUGGCAGACGGGUGAGUAACGCGUGGUCAACCUACCGUUGAGUGGGGGAUAACUAGCCGAAAGGUUAGCUAAUACCGCAUACGUCUCCGAGUGGCAUCACUUGGCGAUAAAAGGAGCAAUCCGCUCGAUGACGGGACCGCGUCCCAUUAGCUAGAUGGUGGGGUAACGGCCUACCAUGGCACCGAUGGGUAGCUGGUUUGAGAGAGCGACCAGCCACACUGGGACUGAGAAACGGCCCAGACUCCUACGGGAGGCAGCAGUGAGGAAUUUUCCGCAAUGGGCGCAAGCCUGACGGAGCGACGCCGCGUGUGGGAAGAAGGCCUCGGUCGUAA
rnacentral:rRNA from 1 species